CCGAGUGAUCUAUCCAUGGGCAGGUUGAAGCGAGGGUAAGACCUCGUGGAGGACCGAACCCACCUAGGUUAAAAACUGGGGGGAUGACCUGUGGAUAGGGGUGAAAGGCCAAUCAAACUCGGUGAUAGCUGGUUCUCCCCGAAAUGCAUUUAGGUGCAGCGUCGUUUGUUCAGUCAUGGGGGUAGAGCACUGGAUGGGUUAGGGGGCCUACAAGCUUACCGACCCCAACCAAACUCCGAAUACCAUGACUCCAGAGAACGGCAGUGAGACUGCGGGGGAUGAGCUUCGCAGUCGAAAGGGAAACAGCCCAGACCGCCGGCUAAGGCCCCAAAUUCUAGACUAAGUGGAAAACGAUGUGAGAUUGCCCAGACAGCCAGGAGGUUGGCUUAGAAGCAGCCACCCUUGAAAGAGUGCGUAACAGCUCACUGGUCGAGUGAUCUUGCGCGGAUAAUGUAACGGGG
rnacentral:rRNA from 1 species